AUUGAACGCUGGCGGCAGGCCUAACACAUGCAAGUCGAGCGAGCGGCGGACGGGUGAGUAAUGUCUGGGAAACUGCCUGAUGGAGGGGGAUAACUACUGGAAACGGUAGCUAAUAACGCAUACCAUCAGAUGUGCCCAGAGGGGAUUAGCUGGUAGGUGGGGGAACGGCUCACCUAGGCGACGAUCCCUAGCUGGGCUGAGAGGAUGAGCAGCCACACUGGAAAUGAGACACGGCCCAGACUCCUACGGGAGGCAGCAGUGGGGAAUAUGGCACAAUGGGCGAAAGCCUGAUGCAGCCAUGCCGCGUGUGUGAAGAAGGCCUUCGGGUUGUAAAGCACUUUCAGCGGGGAGGCGUUACCCGCAGAAGAAGCACCGGCUAACUCCGUGCCAGCAGCCGCGGUAAUUC
rnacentral:rRNA from 1 species